rnacentral:rRNA from 1 species
GUGGGGAAUAUUGGACAAUGGGGGGAACCCUGAUCCAGCCAUGCCGCGUGUGUGAAGAAGGCCUUUUGGUUGUAAAGCACUUUAAGCGAGGAGGAGGCUACUCUAGUUAAUACCUAGAGAUAGUGGACGUUACUCGCAGAAUAAGCACCGGCUAACUCUGUGCCAGCAGCCGCGGUAAUACAGAGGGUGCAAGCGUUAAUCGGAUUUACUGGGCGUAAAGCGCGCGUAGGUGGCCAAUUAAGUCAAAUGUGAAAUCCCCGAGCUUAACUUGGGAAUUGCAUUCGAUACUGGUUGGCUAGAGUAUGGGAGAGGAUGGUAGAAUUCCAGGUGUAGCGGUGAAAUGCGUAGAGAUCUGGAGGAAUAACGAUGGCGAAGGCAGCCAUCUGGCCUAAUACUGACACUGAGGUGCGAAAGCAUGGGGAGCAAACAGGAUUAGAAACCCGUGUAGUCC